UUUGUCAUACAUGUCUUCUUACAAUUUAUCUAAAGAACAUUAAAAAUAUAUUAAAACUAAUCAGAGGAAAAGAUAAAUGAAUUUUGAAAUUAAAUACUUCAUUCUAACUAUUGUAAUUUGCAUAAUUGCUGCUAUAAAGUUUGAUUUGUGGAAUUAUUGUUCUUUAAGCUUUUAUUCAACCUAUUUUAAAGAUUCAACAUCUAACAGCAAUGAACUUGAUCUUGUUAUUGGUAUCCUGUCUAGUCAAGAUAAUUUUGAAGAAAGAAAUGCAAUAAGACAUACAUGGCUCUCAAGUGUCAAGGGAAAUUUAAGAGACAGAGUUAAAGCAUGGUUUGUGGUUGGGAAUGAUUUCUGUGAUAUUCCACCACAAUCCAGAGUAGAUCUGUAUUCAUGUAAUCGAUGGAAGAUUAAUGUCACUGAAAUUACAAAAACAAAGACUUUUUCAACAUGCACAGCCAAAAUGCUGGAGCCUUGUCAACAACAGCCUGUCCAUCAAGGAUUUAUUUUUCAGGUUUUACAUUCAAUAAUUGUGGAAAAAUUGGGUGUGCUGGAAGAUUCCCUCAUUACUGGGGAAAAUGUCACAGUAACCCUUCUUGAUGCUGCUACAAGGGUGAAAGUCACAGUGGCAAACUUCAGUGGUGAAAAACCAGGAAGGAUUAUAAAUGGCUACAUUUACAGACCAGUGCAACAGUACAUACUGCCCAAGGGAUUUUUUGGGCUACUGCUAGUGGAAGGUGUUACAGUACCCAGUGUCUGUAGAGUUACAGAAUUCAAUAAUGGAGUGGUAAGCAUCAAAAAGAUUUACGGAUCAUUGAGUAAUUCAGAAGAACAUGCUGUGGCAACUAGUUUUAUUUUCAGAGUUCAUGAUAUUGCAGAGUUAGAGAAGCAUGUCAGUGAACAAAACAGCAGGUCAGAAGAAUGGAUAAAAAUAAUAAACAACACAAAAAUGAAGUUGAAUGAAGAAGUAGAGAAGUCGGAUGACAUGAUAUUAAUAGAUACAGUUGAUGUGUAUAGAAACCUUCCUCAAAAAGUUGUCAAGUUCUUUCAAUGGCUAAACAAGACCCAAAGUUUUUCCUUUGUACUGAAAACCGAUGAUGAUUGCAUGAUAGAUAUACAUGCUGUUUUAGAAAGGUUAAACCAGGACCAAAACUUCCACAGUCCCAAAGUAUGGUGGAGCAGGUUUCGCAGCGAGUACCCAGUUGAAUUGUAUGGAAAGUGGGGUGAAUGGGAUUACACCUCUCCUGUGUAUCCAGUCUUUGCUUGUGGAGCAGGCAGUGUUUUGUCCAGAGAUUUGGUGUCAUGGAUUACACAGAAUACUGAAACUUUAUACAACUAUCAGGGAGAAGAUGUUUCUAUGGGCAUUUGGCUUUCUGCUGUAAAACCAUCAUAUGUGCAGGAUAUGAGGUGGAAUUGUGACCACAGCUACACAAAGGAUUGUCUUAAUAGAGCCGAACUUAAUGUUACUGAAAUGUAUAGGAUAUGGAAGAGUUAUGAAAGCUGUGGAAGUCUUUGCUGUGAGGAUUGAGAGAUCUAUGCAACAACUGGAGCGAUGCAGUUAAUAAAAAUUGAUCAGAUGGUGAUUAUACCUGUACUGAGGUUUCUUCCUAAGUCAGUUUACUUCAAAGUACCAGUUAUAAUAUUAUAUAAACUGUUAAAGCUUGAAAUGUACAAGUAACAUAUAUAUACCUUAUUGGUGGACACGCUGAUGCUCUUCACAUUGUUAUUAACUGAGAAAGGAACAGCCCAGUCCAGGGCCCUGUUCUGCCAUAAUCCACCAGGAAAUUUCCUAGUAAUCCACUGUUUCUCUUCACCCCUGGUCAUCACUGACUUUCAAGAACAUCAUGUAUUAAAACUCAUGUGAUGCCUGCUUCUUUACUUGCACAUGAGCAGAAAUUUCCAAACUUCACACACAUCUUUCUUUCACACACUGAAAAUGGAAGCUCCAAAUUUGAGGAAAUUUUGAGUUGCAAUUGCUAGUGAAAAUCAUAAUACAGAGUUGCCAAAUUUAACACAGUAAUUUUGGUGGAACUACAUCAGACAUGAUUCUCACUUACUUCUGAUUGACAUAACAUGGAGUCAUCAGCAGGGAGCUUCUCACCUAUGGUAAUGAUCUGAAAGAAGUCACUGUGAGUCAAAUCAAUCUUCUUGUACGUGUCCUAUAAUACAUAUGUCAUAAAGUAUUUACUACCUAACCUCCGUAUGUCUACUGUCAUAGUAAAUCUAAUCUCUUCCACCAAACCUUCUUAGCUGGUUACAGUUUUUUGUUCUAUAUUUUUGUAUUCUCAUAAACAUUGCAAGAUAUUAUUUUGCAGCCAAUUACUUUAUUUGCCUACAAAGUGUGAUAAGUAUAAUUUAUAGAUAUAUUGUGAAACAGAAUAGUGUAAUAUAUUAUAACAAUAAAACACGUUUUUUUCAUUUCAAGAUACUAGUGUUUCUAGGUGUAUGGCAAGAAAAAAUGUGUAGCUGUGGUUACAGCCUUGGCUGCAAGUUAAACACUGUGGAGGUAAUGUUCAUGUGCCAGUUGAAUGACCAGAACACAAAACUUAUCUUUGACAUAAAUAUUAGGAAAGCACUUAAAGGGUUGUCUAAUUUUAGAGAUGAAUAUUGUGAAAAAUUCAAGGUGUGUGGCAAAAAAAAAAGACACAGAAAUAUCUAGCAGUAUAUGACGUUCAACCACUGUUGUCAAGAAAUCUCCAGCAGUAUAUGACAUUCAACCACUGUUGUCAAGAAAUCUCUAGCAGUAUAUGAUGUUCAAACACUGUUGUCAAGAAAUCUCCAGCAGUAUAUGACAUUCAACCACUUUUAUCAAGAAAUCUCCAGCAGUAUAUGACGUUCAACCACUGUUGUCAAGAUAUCUCCAGCAGGUAUAUGACAUUGAACCACUGUUGUUAAAAUAUCUCCGGCAGUAUAUGAUGUUCAACCACUGUUGUCAAGAAAUCUCCAGCAGUAUAUGACAUUCAACCACUGUUAUCAAGAAAUCUCUAGCAGUAUAUGAUAUUCAGCCAUUAAUGUACAUUAGAUUGUACUUAGAUCUCUAUCAUCAAUUAU